GUUGAGGUCUAUCCCCAUGGAGCUUUUCCCGUAGACUCACAUUGUUGGAAAUGCCUCACAGAGUAACCUUGUGGUUUUCGCUUUACUCAGAGAACUAUCUACUAGAUGUGUAGUAACGAACUACAAGACAGAG
ensembl:snoRNA